CCAAAAUGUCCUUUGACUAAGACAGCCUUUGUCAACACAGAGAAGGACAGGAAGUGAUGCAGUCAUCACUCCAGGAAGAUUGAGCCACGAGAAGCUGGGAAAGGCAAGGCUCAGGGGUCGCUGCAGAAGAUGGGCUUGGAAGACCAUAAGAGCCAGAGGUGCUUGGUGAUCUCAGGGAAACCAUUUUCCAGAUACAGCAGGGCAGAUGCAUUUAUGAACUCACAAGGACCAUGAUACACAAGCCGCAUAAGACCUGCUCAAGCCAGACAAAUUCCCAGCAUGGAAGACAAGUGGGGUGAACAUGAAAUUCCACCUCUAGCCAAGGACUUACUGGCAUCAGAUUGUGGCUGGGUCAGGAAAAGUCAGUUUUCUUCAACAGAGUCAUACUUGGUCACACUCCAAACCAGGUUCCAGGCCCAGGAGUAGUCAGCCAAUACAAACUGGAACUUAGGUUUGUUUUUCUUGUUUGUUUGUUUGUUUUUGUUUGUUUUUGUUUUUUG
rnacentral:lncRNA from 1 species